rnacentral:rRNA from 1 species
UGGGGAAUUUUGGACAAUGGGGGCAACCCUGAUCCAGCAAUGCCGCGUGUGUGAAGAAGGCCUUCGGGUUGUAAAGCACUUUUGUCCGGGAAGAAAUCGCACCUGAUAAUACCGGGUGUGGAUGACGGUACCGGAAGAAUAAGGACCGGCUAACUACGUGCCAGCAGCCGCGGUAAUACGUAGGGUCCAAGCGUUAAUCGGAAUUACUGGGCGUAAAGCGUGCGCAGGCGGUUGUGCAAGACCGAUGUGAAAUCCCCGGGCUUAACCUGGGAAUUGCAUUGGUGACUGCACGGCUAGAGGGUGUCAGAGGGGGGUAGAAUUCCACGUGUAGCAGUGAAAUGCGUAGAGAUGUGGAGGAAUACCGAUGGCGAAGGCAGCCCCCUGGGAUAACACUGACGCUCAUGCACGAAAGCGUGGGGAGCAAACAGG